rnacentral:rRNA from 1 species
GGAAUAUUGCGCAAUGGGGGAAACCCUGACGCAGCAACGCCGCGUGAGUGAGGAAGGUCUUAGGAUUGUAAAACUCUGUUCUUAGGGAAAAAUGAUAUUAUGGCUAAUAUCCAUAGUAAGUGAUGGUACCUAAGUAGAAAGCACCGGCUAACUUCGUGCCAGCAGCCGCGGUAAUACGAAGGGUGCAAGCGUUGUUCGGAAUCAUUGGGCGUAAAGCGCGCGCAGGCGGAUCAGCAAGUCAGGUGUGAAAUCUCGAGGCUCAACCUCGAAACUGCGCCUGAAACUGCUAGUCUAGAAUGUCGGAGGGGGCAGGGGAAUUUCACGUGUAGGGGUAAAAUCCGUAGAGAUGUGAAGGAACACCGGGGGCGAAGGCGCCUGCCUGGACGACUAUUGACGCUGAGGCGCGAAAGCGUGGGGAGCAAAC